rnacentral:rRNA from 1 species
AGAGUUUGAUCCUGGCUCAGAUUGAACGCUGGCGGCAUGCCUUACACAUGCAAGUCGAGCGGCAGCGCGGGGGCAACCCUGGCGGCGAGCGGCGAACGGGUGAGUAAUGCAUCGGAACGUGUCCUCUUGUGGGGGAUAACCAGUCGAAAGACUGGCUAAUACCGCAUGAGCUCGAGAGAGGAAAGCAGGGGAUCCGCAAGGACCUUGCGCGAGAGGAGCGGCCGAUGCCCGAUUAGCUAGUUGGUGGGGUAACGGCCUACCAAGGCGACGAUCGGUAGCUGGUCUGAGAGGACGACCAGCCACACUGGGACUGAGACACGGCCCAGACUCCUACGGGAGGCAGCAGUGGGGAAUUUUGGACAAUGGGGGCAACCCUGAUCCAGCCAUGCCGCGUGUGUGAAGAAGGCCUUCGGGUUGUAAAGCACUUUCGGCCGGAACGAAAUCGCGCGAUCUAAUAAGUCGCGUGGAUGACGGUACCGGAAGAAGAAGCACCGGCUAACUACGUGCCAGCAGCCGCGGUAAUACGUAGGGUGCGAGCGUUAAUCGGAAUUACUGGGCGUAAAGUGUGCGCAGGUGGCCGCGCAAGUCGAGUGUGAAAUCCCCGAGCUUAACUUGGGAAUUGCGCUCGAAACUACGUGGCUCGAGUGUGGCAGAGGAAGGUGGAAUUCCACGUGUAGCGGUGAAAUGCGUAGAGAUGUGGAGGAACACCGAUGGCGAAGGCAGCCUUCUGGGCCAACACUGACGCUCAUGCACGAAAGCGUGGGGAGCAAACAGGAUUAGAUACCCCCGUAGUCC